UGAACAUCUCAAAAUCAUUUUUGGAAUUGGGCUUUUCUGUUGUGACAUAUCGGCACAACUGGCCUGAAAUGAGUGACAAAUCAAUGCAAGAAAAUCAUGUAGUUGUCUGGUUGCAAAGACGAAAAGCUAAUUAGUUGACCGUGGUCAAACUUGCUGACUAGUCUUCAAUACUCUGGCAUACUCUACAUUCACU
rnacentral:misc_RNA from 1 species